AUUGAACGCUGGCGGCAGGCUUAACACAUGCAAGUCGAGCGCGCGGCGGACGGGUGAGUAAUGUCUGGGAAACUGCCUGAUGGAGGGGGAUCACUACUGGUAACGGUAGCUAAUAACGCAUACCAUCAGAUGUGCCCAGAUGGGAUUAGCUAGUAGGUGGGGUCAUGGCUCACCUAGGCGACGAUCACUAGCUGGUCUGAGAGUAUGACCAGCCCCACUGGAACUGCGCCACGGUCCAGACUCCUACGAGAGGCAUCAGUGGGGAAUAUGGCACAAUGUGCGCAAGCCGUAUGCAGCCAUGCCGCGUGGGGGAAGAAGGCCUUCGGGUUGUAAAGCACUUUCAGCGAGGAGGCGUUACUCGCAGAAGAAGCACCGGCUAACUCCGUGCCAGCAGCCGCGGUAAUAC
rnacentral:rRNA from 1 species